rnacentral:tRNA from 1 species
GCAUCCAUGGCUGAAUGGUUAAAGCGCCCAACUCAUAAUUGGUAAAUUUGCGGGUU